CCUAGGCCUUCGGCCUAGGCUGUUAUGUUCCGGGCCUUUGGCCCU
rfam:Granulicella tundricola MP5ACTX9, complete genome.